UGGGGAAUAUUGCACAAUGGGGGAAACCCUGAUGCAGCGACGCCGCGUGAGCGAUGAAGGCUUUCGAGUCGUAAAGCUCUGUCCUAUGAGAAGAUAAUGACGGUAUCAUAGGAGGAAGCCCUGGCUAAAUACGUGCCAGCAGCCGCGGUAAUACGUAUGGGGCGAGCGUUGUCCGGAAUUAUUGGGCGUAAAGGGUACGUAGGUGGUUUUUUAAGUCAGGUGUCAAAGCGUGGAGCUUAACUCCAUUAAGCACUUGAAACUGAAAGACUUGAGUGAAGGAGAGGAAAGUGGAAUUCCUAGUGUAGCGGUGAAAUGCGUAGAUAUUAGGAGGAAUACCGGUGGCGAAGGCGACUUUCUGGACUUUUACUGACGCUCAGGUACGAAAGCGUGGGGAGCAAACAGG
rnacentral:rRNA from 1 species